CACUUGAUAAAAAGGUCCAUUGUAAAUUAUUAGUAAUAUUAAUUUAGUCCUUAUGAAUAAUAAGUUGAUGUUAAAAAAGGUCAGUUUUUAAUUUUUUUGAUUCCGAUUCUACCCUUAAAGCCUACUACAUGUUUCUGAUUCCCAUUACAGUAGAGCCCGAUCGCCCACAAAUUUGAAACCCUAAAUGCAACAAGAUGACCAUGGAGCGGAAUAGGACUAGGAACUGGGACGACCUCCACAACGAAGAAGACGAUGAUCGCUUCUUCGAGUCCGGGGAGAGAAUCUCCUCCACUGUGCCUAUCGACCUGGAAGCCUCGUCCUCCGACAAUGAGAAUUUCGACGACAGUCAUUUGUCCUUUGCCUUCUUCCGCGCUCGAACCCGAGCCCGAUCGGGAACCGGGGGCGUCGAAUUCGCUGUUGCAGGCAUUGCCUAUACGGUCGAGAUCAGAGGAAUAGAUCGAAGCUUUCUCUGCCGAUAAAACGAAGGAAAGAAGAGUUAAUCGGCACAAUCUCGAAACAACGGCUGACGAGAACGUCGUCGACUAUCGCUGCGCCUAGCUCUAUAAUGUGUUCGUCCUCGACGUCUCGUCACUCCUUGUUCAGAAACAUAAGCAAUCUGAUGAAGAAUAUGGCUGGAGGUUGCAUGAAUUUCAGGCCGAAUUAGCUUCCUUCAAUGAGCUCCGGCAAAAACUCCAAAGAGAGGAUUCACAAGGAGGAAAUGGAGAAAUGGCAGGAUGAGAUCAGAGAGUUGCGCGCGAUUGAUGCUUUGAAUGAGGAAGCUAGUGCUGUGCUGCAUAAUGCUACAUAUUUGCUUCAGAAUCCUCAUGUUGAUUCUUGAAGGUAUCAAAACCUCAGGUAUGGUCUAACAAGCGGCUGGUCAAGGAUGGUGCAAGUUGAGAAUUUUCAGGUCGGUGAUAUGGUGCAGCUAAUGGUGCUUCACAGAGAUAGCAAAUCUGAGCUGAAUCCUUUUGCCAUAUACGCCAGAUGUUUCAUCUGAUGUGUCUCAGGAGAGGUCAAGUGACUUUGCAUCUACUUGUAGCCUAGUUGAACCUGGUAGUGCUGCUAAAAGAGUGGAUGGUGCUAAUUCAAAUUCAACAAGAGGAAGCUUUCCAUGUAUGCUUCUGUUACAAAUAUUAUACCAAACCUGGAUGAUCAGUCAAGAAUCUGGCUAUGUUGUGGAUAUAGAUACGAAAGCGGUACAAAACUUUGAAUUUGAUGCAGAGAAGAUGACUGCCUAUGAAACAUGUAAUAGCAUUUGGAAGAUGAUAACUUCAUUAGAUAUUUCACAUUUCCCCCUGAGAUAGCUUUGUAUAGUGUCAUGCAAUAUUGUUGUUUUUUUUUAUUCGUCUGUGUUUCUGGAGAAGUAAUCUGUUGACAGUUUGUAAUUUAGAAUUGUAACAUACACGUUUAAAGCUGAUUAUUGAGAAUCUUGUUGGUGCCAUUUUAAAGUGGAUUAU